GAGAAUCCAGAAAGAGUAUCAGGAGGUUGUUGAGCGACGUAUUUUCACAGUGACGGGCACAAGACCAGAUGAAGAGACAAUUGAAAGAUUGAUUGCAACUGGAGAUAGCGAACAAAUAUUCGAGAAACUAAUUCAGGAGCAGGGACGGGGCCAGAUAAUGAUCACCAUGUUUGAAAUUCAAGAGCGCC